AGCAUAUCAAUAAGCGGAGGAAAAGAAACCAACAGGGAUUGCCCCAGUAACGGCGAGUGAAGCGGCAACAGCUCAAAUUUGAAAUCUGGCCCCAGGCCCGAGUUGUAGUUUGCAGAGGAUGCUUUUGGCGCGGUGCCUUCCGAGUUCCCUGGAACGGGACGCCAUAGAGGGUGAGAGCCCCGUACGGUUGGACACCAAGUCUUUGUAAAGCUCCUUCGACGAGUCGAGUAGUUUGGGAAUGCUGCUCAAAAUGGGAGGUAUAUUUCUUCUAAAGCUAAAUAUUGGCCAGAGACCGAUAGCGCACAAGUAGAGUGAUCGAAAGAUGAAAAGCACUUUGAAAAGAGGGUUAAACAGCACGUGAAAUUGUUAAAAGGGAAGCGCUUAUGACCAGACUUGCGCCCGGUGAAUCACCCAGCUCUCGCGGCUGGGGCACUUUGCCGGCUCAGGCCAGCAUCAGCUCGCUGUCGGGGACAAAAGCUUCGGGAACGUAGCUCUCUUCGGGGAGUGUUAUAGCCCGUUGCACAAUACCCUUCGGCGGGCUGAGGUACGCGCUCCGCAAGGAUGCUGGCGUAAUGGUCAUCACCGACCCGUCUUGAAACACGGACCAAGGAGUCAACCUUAUGU
rnacentral:rRNA from 1 species